rnacentral:miRNA from 9 species
CAAAUUCGGUCUAUAGGAUUUC